CUGCUGAAAAACGUAGAAGUUGAGAGUGCUAUACAAAUCGAGUGUCUGCAGAUGCUAGAGGUACCAGCUUCUACUGUCAUCCUUACAGAUGUGCUGUAGAGGACUUUUUACAGAAGAAGGUAAUAGAGAUCAAAAGUUCCAAUAUCUUGGUAGGAGAGAAUUGGAAUGAAAGUAACUGGGUUUUACUGCUUUGGAUUGACCAAGAGUCCUGUAUUGUUGCAAAGCCAGGAAAUCAAGCUAAGAUACCAUUUUUUUUUGCUGCAAAAGUGCUAUUCUACAAGCCAGGAUUGUUUUUGAGAAGGCUUAAGAAUAUUUUCGUGUAAUAUGCAGUACUCAUUCAGGAACUCUUCCUGAUGAACUCUCUGAAGCAGUGAGUCUAUCAAGCAAGACUGAUCUUGGUCAUACUGCAGUGAUGCUCUUUAUACUCUGAAGCUGAAGAGGACUAAGGCAGUGCUUCGGAA